AUACAGAGGUUGCGAGCGUUAAUCGGAAUUACUGGGCGUAAAGCGCGCGUAGGCGGCUACUUAAGUCAGAUGUGAAAUCCCCGGGCUCAACCUGGGAACUGCAUCUGAUACUGGGUAGCUAGAGUUUUGGAGAGGGAAGUAGAAUUUCAGGUGUAGCGGUGAAAUGCAUAGAGAUCUGAAGGAAUACCAGUGGCGAAGGCGACUUCCUGGCCAAAAACUGACGCUGAGGUGCGAAAGCGUGGGUAGCAAACGGGAUUAGAUACCCUAGUAGUCC
rnacentral:rRNA from 1 species